ACAUAUUCUCUAUUUUAAUGAAGAAUUAAUUAACAAUCGGUUUAUAAAACGAUGUUCAGUUAUAGCAUUUUUUGUGAAAGUAAGAGGAGGCGACAAGGAGGAGAUAAUUCAUUUUUGGAUCCCCUACUAUUUCCUUCUCGCCUAAUCGAAUAAGAAUUUUCUUACGUAAGCACUGAUCACGUGAGUAUAGUCCGUACUGCGUAUAAAUAUCCCUCGUUGUCAUCUUCCGUUCUCACUUUCCAUUACGACACGAGGAUAGUAAGAGUUGUACUAUGUAAGCGAAGUGUUUGUAAAUCACAAAAAUUAUUGUUACAAUCAUUAAACUACUUUUAUUUUAAUUAAAUUAUUUCUAUAGCUUUCAAUAGCUGCAAAUCAUUAUAAAAUUCACUGCAAUAUUAACUAUUAUUACAAUAAUACUAGUUGAAUUAUUCUAUAAUAUAUUACAAUAUAUUUUAAAUAAAUUACACCAAUAUAAUACGAUCAAGAGUAUACCGGUUCCGAAACCAUACCCAAUAAUUGGAAAUGCUCAUUUGUUUCUUGGCGAUAACGAAGAUAUAACAGCUCAACUUUCAAACUUAUAGAUAUAAUAUUCCAAUAUUUCAUAAAUAUUGAAAUUAUGAAUCAUUGUGGCGUAUAUGGCUAGGAACGAAAUUACUUGUAAUCGUACAUAAUCCGGAAUAUAACAAAAAGGUAUUAAAUAAUCCAAAUAUUAAUGAGAAGAGCGAGGAGUAUAAAUAUAUGAAAUCGAUUAUCGGCAGUGGAUUGUUUUCUGCUUUAGCAAAAUUGUAGAAUUAUCAUAGAAAAAUAUUAAAUGAAGUCUUUCUUAAAAAAUAUCUAAUGUUCCAUAUGGAUGUAUUCGUUAAUCAUUUUGUCGCUUUAAUGGAAAAAUUGGAAACUUUAGUUGGAGAAGAAAUAGACGUUUGCCAUUACGCCUUUCGUUGUACAUUGGACAUAAUAUAUGUUUGAUGGAUAUAGCUGCGCGAAGGAUAUUCAAAACAUGGUUACAUCCGAAUAUAAUUUUUUGUAAUACUGCUAUGGAAAUUUCAAACAUGUUCAUCCUACCUGAAUAACGUUACAAGAAAUGUAUAUUUAAAAGAAAUAUUUCGUUAAUCCAUCUUAUUUCUUUUUAACAAUUUAAAAUUUAAGUAUUAUAUUGUCUUUAUUAGUAUAUAUCAUUUUUUGUUUGGAAAGACAAUCAAAGAAAAAAAGUAAUCUAGGUUAAGAAUCGUAAUUAAACAAAAUUUGGUUAGGUCUUACUUUGUUAUAUUCCGGAUUAUGUACGAUUACAAGUAAUUUCGUUCCUAGCCAUAUACGCCACAAUGAUUCAUAAUUUCAAUAUUUAUGAAAUAUUGGAAUAUUAUAUCUAUAA